CGAGCACGCGACCACGCGACCACGAGGCGGUGAACGGGGCCUCACGUACGCACCGACCUUUCGCCCGAAAUGGCGAGGAUAACCAUUCGAAGUUAUGAACUAUUACCUAUGUAAGAAGGACAUAUAGAAAUCCGAUUUGUCCUCGUAAUGCUAAAUAAAGAAACUACACAGGAUUGCCCAAGGUUUUCAGAGUGUUCAGGAAGGGAGAAAAAAGAACGCUUUAUAACAACCCUGUCACGCAAGAAAUCCAAAGGGGAUCCAAGAAUUGCUUACUGUCACGCAAUACCAAAACGAAACUGACCAUACGUAUAACUUCCGUUAUGACAAUAUCACAUCGCAAAGUGAAUCUACUUAGUUUGAUGGAAGGUGCGCCAGUAUAUCCGUCGCGAAAAGCUGUUACGAUGGAAAAUCAAGAAUAUCUAUACGCGAAGAAGCUUUACGACUGUCUUUAAUAUUGUCCUUGCCAAGAGAAAAGUUUAAAAAAAUGCAUUGAGGUUGUGAUCGUUUUGCCAUCGUUAGGUAAUUACUUCAAUUGAUACAGAAUCGACAUUAAUUGAAAUCUUUGCAAUGUCAAACACGUGGAAGUCCGCAAAAUUUAUUAACUCUAAUAAUUUCUCUACUAAUUGAUUGUUAAUAUUUCCUGAGUUUCGUAACUUAUUUUUCAAAAGAAAUGACAAAAUUCAUAUGCUUUAUCACUAUACAAUUAAAUGUAUGCAUACUUUGAAUUUUUUUAUCAUAAGCUUCUCGCGACAUUAAUUUUCUAAUUCUCACGUUCGAUAAUCUCUCUCUCUUUCUCUUUCUCUUUCUCUCUUUCUCUCUCUUUUUCUCUCACUCUCUCUCUUUCUCUCUUUCUCUCUUUCUCUCUCUCUCUUUCUCUGUCUUUCUCUUUCUCUUUCUUUCUCUCUUUCUCUCUCUCUCUCUUCCUAGCCUUUAUCGUGCGAGAACUCGUUUGGCCAUAAAUGAAAUCGCGAUGUAGCAUUGGCACAAUUCUAUUUCUUGAUCUUUCGAAAUUACUUCGACUAAUGUAGACUACACCAAAGUAAAGUAAAAUAAAGUUUUCGAGUUAAUUAGUUUUAAAGCAUAAAAAGAUGUAUUAUUUUUACUAAGUGUUAGUUAUUCGUCGUAGUUUCGUAAUAGAAAAUGUUACGAAGUGCAAAUAUGAGUUUUGCAUUAAUUGCAUAAACACGCGAUCCUUUACAUUAAAUAAAAAGUAGAAAAUAUAUAUAUAUAUAUAUCAUUCAUCAAAUUCAAAAACAAAUUAUAAUCAUGCCA